AAUAUAUCGGAACGUACCCAAGAGUGGGGGAUAACGUAGCGAAAUUUGCGAUAAUCCCGCAUACGAUCUAAGGAUGAAAGAGGGGGAUCGCAAGACCUCAUGGUCCGGGAGCGGCCGAUAUCUGAUUAGCUAGUUGGGGAGGUAAUGGCUCACCAAGGCCGGGAUCGGUAGCUGGUCUGAGAGGAGGGCCAGCCACAUGGGAGGUGAGACACGCUCCAGACUCCUACGGGAGGCCCCAGUGGGGAAUUUUGGACAAUGGGGGCAAGCCUGAUCCAACAAUGCCGCCGAGUGAAGAAGGC
rnacentral:rRNA from 1 species